rnacentral:lncRNA from 1 species
UCAUAUUAUCUGUUCAUUCAUCAAAUAUGUAUUGGGCUAGAUCCUGUGCCAGGGCUGGACAUACAAUGCUAAGAAAGUAAAAUUCCCCGCCCUCAUGGAGAAUAACAUUCUUCACAGAGUUUGUGGGGAACAGACUCCCUCCAGUACCUUGUGUUUCUCAAGUCUUAAACUCAUCCUCUGCUCUGGAUUUAAAAGCAAAAGUGGCAUCUCCGGGUCUCUCAUGUAAUAUUUGGAGGAACAUUACACUUCCCAUGUAUAUUUCAUGCCUCUUUCCCAAGAUUUUACUGCUGCUUCUAAGGCAGCUAACAGUAGGUAGGAAACUUUGACCUCUCUUUCACUUUGCCCCUUUAGGACCUCCAGUUUUAGACUUCAUCAAGCAAGCCUGGUUUCAUUUCUUCUUGCUUAGCCUGAUGAACCAGUGUGCUGUACACCACUGUUGGAAACACUGGUACAAAGUUCUGGUACAGAACUCUUUCUGAAUAUUAAUCUCCUGUAUUGCUAUGCCAGAAUCAGAUUCUCCAGAGAAAGAACUUCUAUAUGGAAAGAGGCAGAUUGCUGGAAGGAGUAAAUAAUUCACAGACAACUCAUAAGCCCUGAGCUCUGGUCUGUCUCUGCCAAUUAAAUGCUGUGGAACUUUUGGAAAUGAAGAUGAGAUAAAGGCUUUUCAUACCAACAAAAGUGGAAAGAAUUCAUCAUAAGAAGACUUGAGUGAGAAGAAAUGCUAAGAAAGCUCUUCAAGUAGAAGAAAAUGAUACCAGAUGGAAAUCUGGAUCUCCACAAAGGAACAAAAAGUAUUGAGAAUGGGAACUAUCCUAUGUGGACUUUAUUCAUAAUAACCAAUCCUGAGGGAAAAUCUAUAAUGUUCGUCAAAAGAAGGAAAUCCUGGCUGUGCCUAUAAUCACAGCAUUCUGGGAGGCCAAGGCAGGAGGAUCACUUGAGCCC